CUAAGAAUAUUCCGCAAUGGACGAAAGCCUGACCCAGCGACGCCGCGUGGGCGAUGAAGGCCUUCGGGUUGUAAAGCCCUGUCAUGCGGAAAGAACGACCCUGUGACGCAUACUCACAGGGAGUGACGGUACCGCAGGAGGAAGCACCGGCUAACUCCGUGCCAGCGGCCGCGGUAAUACGGAGGGUGCAAGCGUUGUUCGGAAUUAUUGGGCGUAAAGGGCGCGUAGGCGGUAAUGUAAGUCAGAUGUGAAAUACUUCGGCUCAACUGAAGAACUGCAUCUGAAACUGCAUAACUAGAGUACAGAAGAGGGAAACGGAAUUCCCGGUGUAGAGGUGAAAUUCGUAGAUAUCGGGAGGAACACCAGUGGCGAAGGCGGUUUCCUGGUCUGAUACUGACGCUGAGGCGCGAAAGUGUGGGGAGCAAACA
rnacentral:rRNA from 1 species